rnacentral:rRNA from 1 species
ACUGAAGAUGGCGACCGGCGCACGGGUGAGUAACACGUAUCCAACCUGCCGAUAACUCCGGAAUAGCCUUUCGAAAGAAAGAUUAAUACCGGAUAGCAUACGAAUAUCGCAUGAUAUUUUUAUUAAAGAAUUUCGGUUAUCGAUGGGGAUGCGUUCCAUUAGUUUGUUGGCGGGGUAACGGCCCACCAAGACUACGAUGGAUAGGGGUUCUGAGAGGAAGGUCCCCCACAUUGGAACUGAGACACGGUCCAAACUCCUACGGGAGGCAGCAUG